GGCCCCGUAGCUCAGGUGGUUAGAGCAGCGGACUCAUAAUCUGAAGGUCGAGGGUUCGAACCCCUCCGGGGCCA
rnacentral:tRNA from 1 species